AAAGUACAUAUGAUGCAUAUUCAGCAGGAUUCUUCGCUGCGUAAUAACUUAAUUUUAUACUCCUUCCGAAUUCUACAGGGCAACCCUUUUCAUGUGCUGCCCAUCAAUAUAUAUACGUGAUUUGUGUCCCUGAAAAUCUGGUAACCCUAGCUUUAGUCACCAUUGAAGUGGUCUGGGUGCAUUGUCCCUGUUUCCUUAACUCAGCAAUGUAAAAUGUUUGCAUUGCAGUGUUAAUACUAGGUAUCGCCCGAUUAUCAGUUUUGCCGAUAUCGGACAAUAAUCCGAUUUUAAUUUAUUAUUAUUUUUGGUGUGUAUCGG